UCUCUCUAUAUCUUCUAGAAAGACCUGAACCUUCGAGUUCUACAUAACCUCCGUUUCUCUUCGUUACGCCCAGAAGUUACGAACCAGACGAGCGGUUUGAUCCGAAAUUCUCCAUUGAAUUGAGCUCCUGAAGGUCUUAUCUGUUCUCCUGCCGCUGAUCAUCAUCAAUCAGUUGCCGUCGAUCCACCAGGAAAAGGAAAAAUGAGCAGAAGCAGCCGUUCAAGCCGCACUAUUUAUGUUGGCAAUCUUCCUGGUGAUAUCCGGAUGAGAGAAGUGGAGGAUCUGUUUUACAAGUAUGGAACAAUUGUGGACAUUGAUUUGAAGGUCCCUCCCAGACCCCCAGGAUAUGCUUUUGUGGAGUUUGAGGACCCUCGUGAUGCUGAAGAUGCAAUUCGAGGACGUGAUGGGUGCAAGUUCGAUGGAUAUCGCUUACGAGUUGAACUUGCACAUGGGGGGCGAGGAUAUUCGUCCUCUGACCGAUAUGGCAGCUAUAGUAGUGGAAGUAGCCGAAGUGGAGCUUCUAGGCACUCUGAUUAUCGUGUCUUGGUCACUGGAUUGCCUUCUUCUGCAUCUUGGCAAGAUCUGAAGGACCACAUGCGGCGUGCUGGGGAUGUCUGUUUUUCUGAAGUGUUUCGUGAUCGUGAUGGUGUCUCAGGAAUAGUAGAUUACACAAACUAUGAUGACAUGAAAUAUGCAAUCAGGAAACUAGAUGACUCUCUCUUCAGGAAUGCUUUCAGUCGGGCAUAUAUUCGGGUUCGAGAGUAUGAUUCAAGGAGGAGCUACUCUAGGAGUCCUAGUCGUAGCCCUUACUAUUCAAGAAGCCGCAGUCCAAGCUAUAGCCGCAGCUACAGUAAUCGGAGUAGAAGCAAGUCCCCCAGGAGAAAAUAUUCAGGGCGUUCUCCAUCAGUUUCUCCAGUGAGGUCUGUUUCCUCUAGAUCCCGCUCUGGAUCAUAUCCACGCUCUUACUCAAGAUUCGGCGUUUUGCAGCGUCAUGAAGCACCUUGAUGGGAAGUGGUGCAACUCUGUAAGUUGUUGAGGUAAAAGCAGUUGUUGAGGUAAAAGCUCUUAUGUGGUGGGUCCCUUGCGAAAAAAUUGCCAAAAAUUAGUUAUACUAAAUACGCGAAGCUCAGGACCCUGAAUCUUAAGGGCUGCGAAUAUUUAUUCAGGGAAUAAGGGGUAUUUAAAUACGCAUUGGGUUACAACCUGCCAGCAAAGAAGUCGUUUCAAUGGGAUAUCAUGGAUCUCUUGUAGGUUAUGUAGCCUACCACUGAUAGAGGAUGAUUUGGCAGGUCUCUGUUGGCUGUUUAAAGUUACGAGAUGACUUGGCACUGAGACUUGGGGUGGAGGUUUAAAUAUUAGGUCACAAACAUCUAAAAUGUGCAUUAACAAUUGGAAAUUUUUUUUUGCAGAUCUCCUUCAAGGUCAAGAUCCCCACUGACUCCUCCUCGGAGCAAAUGGGCAGCUGACAGCCCACGUGACCGUAGUGUUAGUAGGAGCCCGAGGAGGAGCUUAUCUCGGUCCCUCUCACCUUCUGUGAGGUCAGAGGACUCGAGGGAUCGCUACUGAGUGCUGCAUUCUGAAGAGCACUAGAUUGCUCUGAAGAAUCAGCUGAUUAUGCUCGAGAUGCAGUGAUAAUUGGGUUCGGAUGCAGUGAUAAUUGGUGGUUUUGACUUGAGCUCGAGCUCAGAUCAAUUUACUUUGUCUAGUUUGGAGGUAUUAUCAGGGGGACAUGAUAUUUAUCGGUGUAUACCUGCAUCAAUAAUUAGGAGUCCUAUUUAAUACCUUUUAACUUCUACGAUGGCUUACAUUUUCCUUCCGCAUGGGGAGAUAUGAUGAUUGACUUGAUAAUAUGAUCGUUGUGUGCUUUCAGUGGACCGAUAA